CCUACGGGAGGCUGCAGUGGGGAAUAUUGGACAAUGGGCGAAAGCCUGAUCCAGCAUGCCGCGUGUGUGAAGAAGGCCUUCGGGUUGUAAAGCACUUUCAGUGGGGAAGAAAGCCUUGGGGCUAAUACCCUCGAGGAAGGACAUCACCCACAGAAGAAGCACCGGCUAACUCCGUGCCAGCAGCCGCGGUAAUACGGAGGGUUCGAGCGUUAAUCGGAAUUACUGGGCGUAAAGCGCGCGUAGGCGGUCUGAUAAGCCGGUUGUGAAAGCCCCGGGCUCAACCUGGGAACGGCAUCCGGAACUGUCAGGCUAGAGUGCAGGAGAGGAAGGUAGAAUUCCCGGUGUAGCGGUGAAAUGCGUAGAGAUCGGGAGGAAUACCAGUGGCGAAGGCGGCCUUCUGGACUGACACUGACGCUGAGGUGCGAAAGCGUGGGUAGCAAACAGGAUUAGAUACCCGUGUAGUC
rnacentral:rRNA from 1 species